rnacentral:pre_miRNA from 7 species
UGGUAAGAUUCAUCCUCAGAGAUGCUGAACUAACCUGCUUAUGAAAGAACCUAGUGGGGAAACCCCCACUCAGCUCCUGAUUCGGCGUGCACCCAAGAAUCACGAAUAGAACA